UACGUAGGGUGCGAGCGUUAAUCGGAUUUACUGGGCGUAAAGCGCGCGCAGGCGGCCCGUUAAGACAGAUGUGAAAUCCCUAGGCUCAACCUAGGAAUUGCGCUUGUGACUGGCGGGCUCGAGUACGGUAGAGGGGGGUGGAAUUCCUGGUGUAGCAGUGAAAUGCGUAGAGAUCAGGAGGAACACCGAUGGCGAAGGCGGCCCCCUGGGCCUGUACUGACGCUCAUGCGCGAAAGCGUGGGGAGCAAACAGG
rnacentral:rRNA from 1 species